rnacentral:rRNA from 1 species
UACGUAGGGUGCAAGCGUUGUCCGGAAUUAUUGGGCGUAAAGAGCUCGUAGGCGGUCUGUUGCGUCGGCUGUGAAAACCCGGGGCUCAACCCCGGGCCUGCAGCCGAUACGGGCAGACUAGAGUUCGGCAGGGGAGACUGGAAUUCCUGGUGUAGCGGUGAAAUGCGCAGAUAUCAGGAGGAACACCGGUGGCGAAGGCGGCGCUCUGGGCCGGUACUGACACUGAGGCGCGAAAGCGUGGGGAGCAAACAGG